rnacentral:rRNA from 1 species
AGUGAACGCUGGCGGUAGGCCUAACACAUGCAAGUCGAACGGCAGCACAGUAAGAGCUUGCUCUUACGGGUGGCGAGUGGCGGACGGGUGAGGAAUACAUCGGAAUCUACUUUUUCGUGGGGGAUAACGUAGGGAAACUUACGCUAAUACCGCAUACGACCUACGGGUGAAAGCAGGGGAUCUUCGGACCUUGCGCGAUUGAAUGAGCCGAUAUCGGAUUAGCUAGUUGGCGGGGUAAAGGCCCACCAAGGCGACGAUCCGUAGCUGGUCUGAGAGGAUGAUCAGCCACACUGGAACUGAGACACGGUCCAGACUCCUACGGGAGGCAGCAGCGGGGAAUAUUGGACAAUGGGCGCAAGCCUGAUCCAGCCAUACCGCGUGGGUGAAGAAGGCCUUCGGGUUGUAAAGCCCUUUUGUUGGGAAAGAAAAGCAGCAGGUUAAUACCCCGCUGUUCUGACGGUACCCAAAGAAUAAGCACCGGCUAACUUCGUG